CUAUUUCAGUCACUUCAAGCUUUCCUCUGUCCCUCUUGAGAAGAGAAAGGCUCUUACUCCACCUAGGGUGUGGAUUUAAUCACUCUCCACUCUCUAGGUGGGUUGUAAAUAGCUUCUUUAUGGGUUGUUUGUAUAUUAGGGUUUAUUGAGAAGGUUAUUUCAAUGAACCUGCUGUGUGUUUGCUUGUAAUUGAUUGAGUCUUAUCCUAUGCUUAACCAGCCUUAUUUUGGAAAAACUCAGCAAGAGAGUGCUCAGGAGUAGCUUUGUCGAAUGGCAUCUUAGGGAUUCUAUAGCCAACUUGUCGCUUGACCCUUAAGGCUAUAGAAAAGUGAGACGUCGUGUGAGCCCUAACAUUCGAUUCUCUCAGCUCACCGAGAUAGAUCUAUGCUUUGGGUUCCUUGAGGCUCUAAUAGUUAGUUGGAAGAAAGGAAACCAUGGGCAAUUUGAAAGGCUUCAUUGAGUUGUAAUUUAAGUUUUUCAAUGAAAAGCUUCGUCCUUCCUCUUUGAAACGGCGAACAAUCGACAGCACGGUUGCAAAAGCAUCUCCUUCAAGCUUCAAUCAUCUAGGUUCUAGGGUUUGCUAUGAAGUGUGGCCUUGAACCCUGAUGUAUGGUUAGGGCUAGCUGUUAUGGGCCACAAGUUCUUUUUUUUUUUUUUAUCAUUGUGAUUUUG
rnacentral:misc_RNA from 1 species